CACGAACUCACUGCCCUGCUGCGCCCGCCUGUGCGACUGGGCUCGGGGCGCACCGGAAGGAGCGGAGCCUCCACGGCGAGCGAGAGGGGGCCCCAGGCGGGCGCGCCUCCUCCACUUCUCUGCAAGAUCUCGGGCGAGUGCCUGGCUGGGCACAGCUGGGCUGAGGAUUCCAGCCGCGGGAGGGACCGCCCGUCCCGGGGCACUCCAGGGGCAAACUGCGGGAUUAACAGAAGUUGGCUGUGGUGUUACUAAUAAGACGGAGUAUGAGGCCCUGGUCUGACAGACAGCAAGCCCAGUUGGUGAGAAGCCGCCUGUUAGCCAGUCUGAUGAAGUUGCAAACCGCAGACUGUGUUGCGAGCGAGGUCCUUUUGUUUUCAUUGUUACACGCAGGUGAGUGUUGGAACUGUUAAAAUCCCCAUCUGUUUUCAUUCAGUUAGUUUAGUUCUAAACAUAGCAAACCCCACCCAGGUGCUAUCUGACGACCAAUUACUGCUUAGGUAACUAGGUGUAAAGUUUUACAUACCCAUUAAUGUCAAUAGUUUAUUACAAGUUGUGUAAAAUGGACUCUGAUCACUGGAAAAGAUUAGGUUGCUCCUGAGGCUGACUGUAGAGCAUGUAAAAUGAUUUACCAGGUUCUGUUCUGCUGUCGUCAAUGAAAAAGAUGUAUGUUGUAGACAAAGUUGCAGAAUUAAAAAGAAAUCUGCUUUUAAUUUAUUCUUUUUGUAUUAAGAAUUUGUAUAGUACCUUUACAUUUUGCAAAAACAGUGUUGUCAACACUUAUUAAAGCAUUUUCAAAAUGAAAAGA